rnacentral:rRNA from 1 species
GACGAACGCUGGCGGCGUGCCUAAUACAUGCAAGUCGAGCGGACGAAUCGAAAGCUUGCUUUUGAUUCGUUAGCGGCGGACGGGUGAGUAACACGUGGGCAACCUGCCCUGUAGACGGGGAUAACACCGAGAAAUCGGUGCUAAUACCGGAUAACACGAAAUGUCGCAUGACGUUUCGUUGAAAGACGGCGCAAGCUGUCGCUACAGGAUGGGCCCGCGGCGCAUUAGCUAGUUGGUGAGGUAACGGCUCACCAAGGCGACGAUGCGUAGCCGACCUGAGAGGGUGAUCGGCCACACUGGGACUGAGACACGGCCCAGACUCCUACGGGAGGCAGCAGUAGGGAAUCUUCCGCAAUGGACGAAAGUCUGACGGGGCAACGCCGCGUGAGCGAAGAAGGCCUUCGGGUCGUAAAGCUCUGUUGUUAGGGAAGAACAAGUAACGCAGUAACUGGCGUUACCGUGACGGUACCUAACGAGAAAGCCACGGCUAACUACGUG